rnacentral:rRNA from 1 species
GUGGGGAAUAUUGCGCAAUGGGCGAAAGCCUGACGCAGCGACGCCGCGUGUGGGAUGAAGGCCUUCGGGUUGUAAACCACUGUCGGGAGGGACGAAGCUCUGACGGUACCUCCAAAGGAAGCACCGGCUAACUCUGUGCCAGCAGCCGCGGUAAUACAGAGGGUGCGAGCGUUGUCCGGAAUCACUGGGCGUAAAGGGCGCGUAGGCGGCCCGAUAAGUAGGGGGUGAAAUCUUGCGGCUCAACCGCAAGGCUGCCUUCUAGACUGUCGGGCUUGAGCACAGUAGAGGCAGGUGGAAUUCCCGGUGUAGCGGUGGAAUGCGUAGAGAUCGGGAAGAACAUCGGUGGCGAAGGCGGCCUGCUGGGCUGUUGCUGACGCUGAGGCGCGACAGCGUGGGGAGCAAACAGGAUUAGAAACCCUAGUAGUCC